rnacentral:rRNA from 1 species
GGACAACCUGCCCUGAGGACUGGAAUAAUCCCGGGAAACUGGGGGUAAUUCCAGAUAUGUCAGAACUCCUGGAAUGGGUUCUGGCAGAAAGGCUCCGGCGCCUCAGGAUGGGUCUGCGGCCUAUCAGGGUAGUAGUGGGUGUAACGUACCUACUAGCCUACGACGGGUACGGGUUGUGAGAGCAAGAGCCCGGAGAUGGAUUCUGAGACAUGAAUCCAGGCCCUACGGGGUGCAGCAGGCGCGAAAACUUUACAAUGCGGGCAACCGCGAUAAGGGGACCUCGAGUGCUGGGUUACAAACCUGGCUGUUGGGCUGCCUAAAAAGCAGUCUAUAGCAAGGGCCGGGCAAGACCGGUGCCAGCCGCCGCGGUAACACCGGCGGCUCGAGUGGUAACCGCUAUUAUUGGGUCUAAAGGGUCUGUAGCCUGCCGGCUAAGUCUCUUGGGAAAUCUGGCAUCUCAAGUGUCAGGCUGCCAGGGGAUACUGGUCAGCUUGGGACCGGGAGAGGUGAGAGGUACCUCAGGGGUAGGGGUGAAAUCUUGUAAUCCUUGAGGGACCACCAGUGGCGAAGGCGUCUCACCAGAACGGAUCCGACGGCAAGGGACGAAAGCUAGGGGCACGAACCGGAUUAGAUACCCGGGUAGUCCUAGCCGUAAACGAUACUCGCUAGGUGUCGGCCACGGUGCGACCGUGGUCGGUGCCGUAGGGAAGCCGUGAAGCGAGCCACCUGGGAAGUACGGCCGCAAGGCUGAAACU